GAUGAACGCUGGCGGCGUGCCUAAUACAUGCGAGUCGAGCGAACAGACGAGGAGCUUGCUCCUCUGACGUUAGCGGCGGACGGGUGAGUAACACGUGGAUAACCUACCUAUAAGACUGGGAUAACUUCGGGAAACCGGAGCUAAUACCGGAUAAUAUAUUGAACCGCAUGGUUCAAUAGUGAAAGACGGUUUUGCAGUCACUUAUAGAUGGAUCCGCGCCGCAUUAGCUAGUUGGUAAGGUAACGGCUUACCAAGGCAACGAUGCGUAGCCGACCUGAGAGGGUGAUCGGCCACACUGGAACUGAGACACGGUCCAGACUCCUACGGGAGGCAGCAGUAGGGAAUCUUCCGCAAUGGGCGAAAGCUUGACGGAGAAACGCCGCGUGAGUGAUGAAGGUCUUCGGAUCGUAAAACUCUGUUAUUAGGGAAGAACAAAUGUGUAAGUAACUAUGCACGUCUUGACGGUACCUAAUCAGAAAGCCACGGCUAACUACGUG
rnacentral:rRNA from 1 species